rnacentral:rRNA from 1 species
UACGUAGGUGGCAAGCGUUGUCCGGAUUUACUGGGCGUAAAGGGCGCGUAGGCGGCCACCGCAAGUCGACUGUGAAAUCUCCGGGCUUAACCCGGAAAGGUCAGCCGAUACUGCGGGGCUAGAGUGCAGAAGGGGCAACUGGAAUUCUCGGUGUAGCGGUGAAAUGCGUAGAUAUCGAGAGGAACACCUGCGGCGAAGGCGGGUUGCUGGGCUGACACUGACGCUGAUGUGCGAAAGCUAGGGGAGCGAACGGG